UAGAGGACUGAGAAACUAAUAGUGUAAUUGCAUAUGCCUUAUAUCCCUAGAAAACAAGGUUAAAAAUAGAACAAUCUGUACUGAAGUACUGAAGAAAAUGACUUACCAACAGCAAAACUUUCAGCAACCACUUGUAGGCUGAAAGAAAAAAAAAAAAAAAAAAAAGCUCUGCAUAUGCUAAUUACAACAGAAACUGAGAAUACUCGAGUAUUCCUGGAAUCAACAGUCAUGUCUGGGGUAAGAUAACAGAUGUUCCUUCAGCUGCACAGAAACCAUCUGAAACUUUGUUCUGAAACUUUCUUGCCAUACAUCAAAAUGAUUAUUCCAUAAUUACUGUCCCCUAACUGUUUUUAGAUUUAUUUUUUUUAAGAAGAAAAUCCUCACCAUGAAGCAAAGAAAUUUUAAACUGCUGCCUGCUUGCAGUUUGAGAAAUGCAACAGGAGGAUGAAGGCCUCUCUAGUACUACUUGAGAAGCAGCAUCUGGGACUGUCUGAAGUUCAGGCUUUCUGCAGUGAGCUCGGGCAAGUCAUAGACUGUACAGUGCGGAUAAUCCAGGACAGAGAUGCUGUGGAAGGCAGGAAAGAAGGGACUCGCUAAGAACCAGGAAAUGCUCAAUGUCUUUCUGUCUGAUGAACAGAGAA